CCUACGGGUGGCAGCAGUGGGGGAUCUUUCACAAUGGGGGGAACCCUGAUGCAGCGACGCCGCGUGGGGGAAGAAGGGCCUCGGCGUGUAAAGCCCUUUUAUCAGGGAAGAAAAUGACGGUACCUUAAGAAGAAGCCCCGGCUAACUACGUGCCAGCAGCCGCGGUAAUACGUAGGGGGCAAGCGUUAUCCGGAUUUACUGGGUGUAAAGGGGUGCCAGGGGGGGAUGCAAGCUAGGAGUGAAAGCCCGGGGCCCAACCCCCGGACUGCUCGUGAAACUGCGUGGCUGGAGUGCAGGAGGGGCAGGCGGAAUUCCUGGUGUAGCGGUGAAAUGCGUAGAUAUCAGGAGGAACACCGGUGGCGAAGGCGGCCUGCUGGACUGGAACUGACGUUGAGGCACGAAAGCGUGGGGAGCAAACGGGAUUAGAUACCCGGGUAGUC
rnacentral:rRNA from 1 species